rnacentral:rRNA from 1 species
CGGCGGUGGCGUCGAARGCUUACGGGCGUGAGCCUGGCUGGAGCCGCCGCCGGUGCAGAUCUUGGUGGUAGUAGCAAAUACUCAAGCGAGAACCUUGAGGACUGAAGUGGGGAAGGGUUCCAUGUGAACAGCAGUUGAACAUGGGUCAGUCGAUCCUAAGGUAUCGGCGAAAGCCGUUCAGAAGCGGUGUGGAUAGUGUCCUCGUGGCACUGGUUACUGUGUUGUCCUUACGGUUGAUGCAGUGAUCACCGCACCUACCGAAAGGGAAUCGGGUUAAUAUUCCCGAACCCGGCAUCGGAUAUUGGUCUGUCUUCGGGCAGACACAUGCGGUAACGCAAAUGAACUCGGAAACGCUGACACGUGCCCUAGAGAAAAUUGUCUUUUCUUCAUAAGGCACAGGCUCCCUGGAAUCGGAUCAUCCGGCGAUAGGGAGAUGGUGUCCGUAGAGCACCGCGGUUCUUGCGGUGUCUGGUGCGCACGUGUCGGUCCUUGAAAAUCCGAGGGAGAGUGUGAUUUUCGUGCCGGAUCGUACCCAUAUCCGCAGCAGUCUCC